rnacentral:rRNA from 1 species
GUCUUCGCAACGAGCGCAACCCUUACCUCUAGUUGCCAUCAUUUAGUUGGGCACUCUAGAGAGACUGCCGGUGUCAAACCGGAGGAAGGUGGGGAUGACGUCCAGUCCUCAUGGCCUUUAUGAUCAGGGCUACACACGUACUACAAUGGUCGGUACUAAGGGCAGCGACAGGGCGACCUGUACCGAAUCUCUUAAAGCCGUUCUCAAUCCGGAUCGGAGUCUGCAACUCGACUCCUUGAAGUCGGAAUCGCUAGUAAUCCUGGAUCAGCAUGCCACGGUGAAUACGUUCCCGGGCCUUGUACACACCGCCCGUCACACCAC